rnacentral:rRNA from 1 species
GUGUCAGCCGCCGCGGUAAUACAGAGGGUGCAAGCGUUAAUCGGAUUUACUGGGCGUAAAGCGCGCGUAGGCGGCUAAUUAAGUCAAAUGUGAAAUCCCCGAGCUUAACUUGGGAAUUGCAUUCGAUACUGGUUAGCUAGAGUGUGGGAGAGGAUGGUAGAAUUCCAGGUGUAGCGGUGAAAUGCGUAGAGAUCUGGAGGAAUACCGAUGGCGAAGGCAGCCAUCUGGCCUAACACUGACGCUGAGGUGCGAAAGCAUGGGGAGCAAACAGGAUUAGAAACCCUAGUAGUCC